AGGUAAAGUCAACCUCAGUGGAAUUUGAACUCAGAAUGUAACGGCAGACGAAAUACCACUAAGCAUUUAACCCGGUGUGCUGACAUUUCUGUCAUUUUGUCACCUUACUGG